rnacentral:rRNA from 1 species
AUGAACGCUAGCGACAGGCUUAACACAUGCAAGUCGAGGGGUAACAGGGUAGCAAUACCGCUGACGACCGGCGCACGGGUGAGUAACGCGUAUGCAACCUGCCUAUAACUGGGGAAUAGCUCCCUGAAAGGGGAAUUAACACCGCAUAACACUAUUGAUUCGCAUGGAUUAGUAGUUAAAUGUAGCGAUACAGGUUAUAGAUGGGCAUGCGUGACAUUAGCUAGUUGGUGAGGUAACGGCUCACCAAGGCUACGAUGUCUAGGGGUUCUGAGAGGAAGGUCCCCCACACUGGUACUGAGACACGGACCAGACUCCUACGGGAGGCAGCAGUGAGGAAUAUUGGUCAAUGGGCGCAAGCCUGAACCAGCCAUGUCGCGUGCAGGAAGACUGCCCCCUAUGGGUUGUAAACUGCUUUUAUAGUAGAAGAAACACAUCUACGUGUAGAUGUCUGCCAGUAUACUAUGAAUAAGCAUCGGCUAACUCCGUGCCAGCAGCAGC